UAUUCUGGAUUAGCCGCCUGAUUUCAGGCUAGGCUGGUGGUGAAAUAACCACCGGCCU
rnacentral:sRNA from 1 species